UACGUAGGGUGCAAGCGUUGUCCGGAAUUAUUGGGCGUAAAGAGCUCGUAGGCGGUCUGUCGCGUCGGCUGUGAAAACUCGGGGCUCAACCCCGAGCCUGCAGUCGAUACGGGCAGACUAGAGUGCUGUAGGGGGAGACUGGAAUUCCUGGUGUAGCGGUGAAAUGCGCAGAUAUCAGGAGGAACACCGGUGCGAAGGCGGGGUCUCUGGGCAGUAACUGACGCUGAGACACGAAAGCGUGGGUAGCAAACAGG
rnacentral:rRNA from 1 species